rnacentral:misc_RNA from 1 species
ACACCUCAACUCUCAUGGUCCACCAUGAUGAGCUUGGACUUUGGAGGCAUUGCCGGCCUAACUGUCGGCUCCUCUCAAAUGGAUCAGCUUGCCAGUGUUUGGUGGCAUCACGGGUGUGAUAACUAUCUACGCUCGUGGUUUUCCACCAUGUAACCUUCAGUGAUGGAGGUUCGCUGGAGCUCACAGACGUCUCUCCUCAGGGAGGACAGCUUUUGAAC